rnacentral:tRNA from 1 species
CGUCAGGUAGCUCAGUGGUUAUAGCAGUCGCUCGGCAAGAGAAAGAUCCGGAUUCGAUUCCCGGUUUAGCGA